CUUGACAUACAUAAGAGGUCCAGCCUGCCCAGUGACUAAGUUCAACGGCCGCGGUAUCCUAACCGUGCGAAGGUAGCGUAAUCACUUGUUCUUUAAAUGAGGACUAGUAUGAAUGGCACCACGAGGGUUAUACUGUCUCCUUUUUUUAAUCAAUGAAACUGAUCUCCCCGUGAAGAAGCGGGGAUAAAUUUAUAAGACGAGAAGACCCUAUGGAGCUUUAAACAAUUAUAGCACUGGCCCACACCUCUUAUUCUCCUGAGAUAUAAUUAUUAUACAGGCCAACAUGACUAUUAGUUUUAGGUUGGGGUGACCGCGGAGCAAAAAUUAACCUCCACGUUGAACGGAGCUACUCCUGAGCUAAAAACUACAACUUUAAGCACCAAUAAACUGACAUCAAUUGACCCAAUAUAUUGAACAACGAAC
rnacentral:rRNA from 1 species